GAAAUAUUGUUUGGGGGGGGGGUUUUUUUUUUUUUUUUUUCUCCGCUCCGGAUGAACGCUUUAGGGCGUGGGCCCAUACUCGCAAGUCGAGCGAAUGGAUUAAGAGCCUGCUCCUAUGAAGUUAGCGGCGGACGGGUGAGUAACACGUGGGUAACCUGCCCAUAAGACUGGGAUCACUCCGGGAAACCGGGGCUAAUUCCGGAUUACAUUUUGAACCGCAUGGUUCGAAAUUGAAAGGCGGCCUUGGCUCUUACUUAUGGAUGGACCCGCGUCGCAUUAGCUAGUUGGUGAGGUAACGGCUCACCAAGGCAACGAAGCGUAGCCGACCUGAGAGGGUGAUUGGCCACCCUGGGACUGAGACCCGGCCCAGACUCCUUCGGGAGGCAGCCGUAGGGAAUUUUCCGCCAUGGACGAAAAUCUGACGGAACAACGCCGCAUGAGGGAUGAAGGCUUUCGGGUUGUAAAAGUCUGCUGUUAGGGAAGAACCAGUGCUAGUCGAAUAAGCUGGCACCUUGACGGUACCUAACCAGAAAGCCACGGCUAACUACGUGCCAGCAGCCGCGGUAAUACGUAGGUGGCAAGCGUUAUCCGGAAUUAUUGGGCGUAAAGCGCGCGCAGGUGGUUUCUUAAGUCUGAUGUGAAAGCCCACGGCUCAACCGUGGAGGGUCAUUGGAAACUGGGAGACUUGAGUGCAGAAGAGGAAAGUGGAAUUCCAUGUGUAGCGGUGAAAUGCGCAGAGAUAUGGAGGAACACCAGUGGCGAAGGCGACUCUCUGGUCUGUAACUGACACUGAGGCGCGAAAGACGCCC
rnacentral:rRNA from 1 species